UACGUAGGGCGCAAGCGUUAUCCGGAAUUAUUGGGCGUAAAGAGCUCGUAGGCGGUUUGUCGCGUCUGCCGUGAAAGUCCGGGGCUCAACUCCGGAUCUGCGGUGGGUACGGGCAGACUAGAGUGAUGUAGGGGAGACUGGAAUUCCAGGUGUAGCGGUGAAAUGCGUAGAUAUCUGGAGGAACACCGGUGGCGAAGGCGGCAUCCUGGACCGAUAUUGACGCUGAUGCGCGAAAGCCAGGGGAGCAAACGGG
rnacentral:rRNA from 1 species